CCUACGGGAGGCAGCAGUGGGGAAUAUUGGGCAAUGGGCGCAAGCCUGACCCAGCAACGCCGCGUGAAGGAAGAAGGCUUUCGGGUUGUAAACUUCUUUUGUCAGGGACGAAGCAAGUGACGGUACCUGACGAAUAAGCCACGGCUAACUACGUGCCAGCAGCCGCGGUAAUACGUAGGUGGCAAGCGUUAUCCGGAUUUACUGGGUGUAAAGGGCGUGUAGGCGGGGAAGCAAGUCAGAUGUGAAAACCACGGGCUCAACCUGUGACCUACAUUUGAAACUGUUUUUCUUGAGUACUGGAGAGGCAGACGGAAUUCCUAGUGUAGCGGUGAAAUGCGUAGAUAUUAGGAGGAACACCAGUGGCGAAGGCGGUCUGCUGGACAGCAACUGACGCUGAGGCGCGAAAGCGUGGGGAGCAAACAGGAUUAGAUACCCUAGUAGUC
rnacentral:rRNA from 1 species